AAGACGCAAGUAGGUAAACUGGGUACGGUUGUGCCAGGGUACGGUAGUGACAGUCGCAGUUGUAACGAAACUAUACGUAAAACGGGGGAGGUUGUGAGGGAGAAAGACGUGGCUCACAAGCCUAAACACGUUCCCCAGUAUUGCGUUAGCCGGCGCACGACGUUGACGUAAGCAGGAGCCCACAUUGCUUUUCAACAAUCAAAAAUGUCCAGGAUACGUUUGCGGAAGACCGAAAGAGCGCAGUGUGAUAUCAAAAAAUAAAAAGAUGCCGAUGAAGAAGUGAAACAAGGGAUUUCGUACGUGUAGCUCAAGCUACAAGCCUUUCUACAGCUACAAGUUUGAACAGAGCAAAUGUUGUUUUGUUGAUUGUUAAAACUAUGUUUGUAAGCUUAUUAUGUUAAACAUUUCUACAAUAAAAGAUAUUAUAGACCA
rnacentral:lncRNA from 1 species